UACGGAGGGUGCAAGCGUUAUCCGGAUUCACUGGGUUUAAAGGGUGCGUAGGUGGGCAGGUAAGUCAGUGGUGAAAUCUCCGGGCUUAACCCGGAAAUUGCCGUUGAUACUAUCUGUCUUGAAUAUCGUGGAGAUGAGCGGAAUAUGUCAUGUAGCGGUGAAAUGCGUAGAUAUGACAUAGAACACCGAGUGCGAAGGCAGCUCGUGACACGGUUAUUGACACUGAGGCACGAAAGCGUGGGGAUCAAACAGG
rnacentral:rRNA from 1 species